UACGGGGGGGAGCAAGCGUUGUUCGGAUUUACUGGGCGUAAAGGGCGCGUAGGCGGCCACCGCAAGUCAAUUGUGAAAUCUCCGGGCUUAACUCGGAAAGGUCAACUGAUACUGCGGGGCUAGAGUGCGGAAGGGGCAACUGGAAUUCUCGGUGUAGCGGUGAAAUGCGUAGAUAUCGAGAGGAACACCUGCGGCGAAGGCGGGUUGCUGGGCCGACACUGACGCUGAGGCGCGAAAGCUAGGGGAGCAAACGGG
rnacentral:rRNA from 1 species